UACAGAGGGGGCAAGCGUUAUUCGGAAUUAUUGGGCGUAAAGGGUGCGUAGGCGGCCUGGCAAGUGGAAGGUGAAAUCCCUCGGCUUAACCGAGGAACUGCCUUCCAAACUGCUUGGCUUGAGUCCGGGAGAGGUGAGUGGAAUUCCCAGUGUAGCGGUGAAAUGCGUAGAUAUUGGGAGGAACACCAGUGGCGAAGGCGGCUCACUGGACCGGAACUGACGCUGAGGAGCGAAAGCAUGGGGAGCGAACAGG
rnacentral:rRNA from 1 species